rnacentral:rRNA from 1 species
GCAAAGUUGUGUAGUGCGAUCGGUGGAUGCCUUGGCACCAAGAGCCGAUGAAGGACGUUGUGACCUGCGAUAAGCCCUGGGGAGUUGGUGAGCGAGCUGUGAUCCGGGGGUGUCCGAAUGGGGAAACCUGGAAUGUCCGGAGUAGUGUCCGGUGGCCCUGCCCUGAAUGUAUAGGGGUGUGGGUGGUAACGCGGGGAAGUGAAACAUCUUAGUACCCGUAGGAAGAGAAAACAAGUGUGAUUCCGUGAGUAGUGGCGAGCGAAAGCGGAGGAGGCUAAACCGUGUGUGUGUUCAAGCCGGCAGGUGUUGCAUGUGCGGGGUUGUGGGGGCCUUGUGGUUCUGCUGCCGCAGGAUUGGCCAGUGAGAAAUGUUGCGUGAAGGUGAAGCGUCUGGGAAGGCGUACCGGAGUGGGUGAGAGUCCUGUAACUGUAAGCGUGGCGCUGGUGUGGGGUUGCCCCGAGUAGCGUGGGACUCGUGGAAUUUCGCGUGAAUCUGGCGGGACCACCCGUCAAGCCUAAAUACUCCUUGGUGACCGAUAGUGGAUGAGUACCGUGAGGGAAGGGUGAAAAGUACCCCGGGAGGGGAGUGAAAGAGUUCCUGAAACCGGUCGCAUGCAAGCCGUCAGAGCCUGUGUGGUGAUGGCGUGCCUUUUGAAGAAUGAGCCUGCGAGUUAGUGAUGCGUGGCGAGGUUAACCCGUGGUGGGGGAGUCGUAGCGAAAGCGAGUCCGAUAAGGGCGUGAGUCGCGUGUUCUAGACCCGAAGCGGUGUGAUCUAUCCAUGGCCAGGAUGAAGCGUCGGUAAGACGUCGUGGAGGUCCGAACCCACUUCAGUUGAAAAUGGAGGGGAUGAGUUGUGGAUAGGGGUGAAAGGCCAAUCAAACACCGUGAUAGCUGGUUCUCCCCGAAAUGCAUUUAGGUGCAGCGUUGCGUGGUUCUUGUUGGAGGUAGAGCACUGGAUGGUCUAGGGGGCUUAUCGGCUUACCGAAAUCAGCCAAACUCCGAAUGCUGGCAAGUGUAGCGUGGCAGUGAGACGGCGGGGGAUAAGCUUCGUCGUCGAGAGGGAAACAGCCCAGAUCAUCAGCUAAGGCCCCUAAGUGGUGACUCAGUGGGAAAGGAUGUGGAGUUGCGUAGACAACCAGGAGGUUGGCUUGGAAGCAGCCAUCCUUGAAAGAGUGCGUAAUAGCUCACUGGUCAAGUGAUUCCGCGCCGAUAAUGUA